UCUUCACUUUCCCGAGCCGGGGCCGCCGCUCGGCCCUCCGCCUGCCUCGGAGGGCGUCCCGGGGCGCCCCUUCCGCGGGCCGCGGAUGGCAGCCCAGGCCUUGGCGGGCACCGCCUGGGCAACCUCAGCGGAGGUCUUGACUCUUCUGGGAAUAACGAGAUGCUGGAAAGGUUGGGCUGAGAAAGGAAGGAAGAAAAAAAAAAAAAAACAUUUGGGUCAAUGAAGGAGCGUCAGGCCGCAGCGUCGGGGGAGGGCCCUCCCCUCUCCGACUUAAGCCAAGUCAGCUGCCUCCAAAAUUGCACGUUGGGCUGUGGGAGGUACAGGUGAGGAGCCAGGACCCAGGCGGAGAAGGGACGCUUUGCGCGUGUCACGUAAGGCUUGGCAAGCCUUGACUACGGUUACCUCUGAGUCACUCUGGUCUCCGUGUCACAACCGCCAUCGGGACAUGGGGUCCACUGAGACCUUGAUGAGCCACUAGUGCUGGAAAGUUUGGGGUUUUCCUGAAGACGAUGCAGGAUCACUGGUGCAUCUGACUUGCGUUUGUAGAGAACCUGAAAAGCCGGUAGGAAGCGGCCACAAAACACCGUGGAAACAACUCAGGGAGAAGGUACAUGUGGACCCAGGGAUGGCAUCUGCUUCCACAGCUGGCUUCCUGCAGCCCCCACUUCCCCUGGUGCCAAGCAGAUUCCUUGCAGAACCUUGGCCAACAGCUGGCAUCCGGCGUACUGUAGAGCGUAUUCCCCUGCGGAUGACGUUGCUCUUGCCCCGUCCAGAAGGGAGAUGACAGAGUUGGAGUGGAGAGGCUCCUUCUACAGGAAUGUCCACCCCAGUGGGCUCCUGAGAGCGCCCUGGCCACACGCCUUGUAAGUUAAGCUUGCUCCUCUCAGAAUGAGGAGCCAUCACACAGACAUGCCCACCACCCCCAGCCUGAGAAGCAGCAUUUACAACUGCCUUCUCAGCUGCAAGUCGCCCACAUUCCGAAAGACAGGAAACACUGGAUGAAUGUCUCCUGUGCAUGUCUCUGGGCCAGAUGCUGUUCCAGGCUGGAGGACCACAGUGUGUUGCAGUUCUGGAGGUCGGAAGUCUGGAAUGAGACCAACAGGGCCAAGACCAGGGUGUCACCAGGGCUGGCUCCCCACGAGGACACCGAGCCAGAAUCCUUUGCAUGCCUGAAAGUCGCCUGCACGGCUCCACCUGUGGCCCCUUCUCUGCAUCACUACAACCUGUGGCUUCGGUCGCCGCAUCUACGGAGUCCGCACUCCUGCCUGCCUUCCCGAAGGACACAUGAAUCCCCUGGCCCUACGUGAGUAAUCUCAAAACCCCCAGUGUAAUCACGUCUGCAAAGCUGCUUUUGCCAUACAAGGUAACCCUCACAGGUCCCGGGGGUCAGGAUGUGGACAUCUUUCAGCCUGCCACAGUGCGGCAUGUGGCUUCGGCGUGGCUUUGAAAGGCACCAGCUGAUAAGGAAAUGGGAGGGGACGGACUCCCCACCCAGUGAACUUCAGCCCAUGGGAAACAGGACCAGCUCCAGAAAUAUCUCUUCUUCUCCUGGACGGCUGCUCUGAGGCAGGAGUUCCUAUACAACUUGUGCAGAGUAUCCCACGUGGCCCUGCGCCUGGGCUCUCCUGGUGGGCCGCGGGGAAGCAGGGGCCGCUUUGUCUUGCUUCCCAUCCUUCUCUGCCUCUCUCCCUUACCCUCAGUGCCCUGGGCUGCACUUCCCAAAGCUCUAGCACUUUCCCUCUGCC